rnacentral:rRNA from 1 species
UGCCAGCCGCCGCGGUAAUACGGGAGUGGCAAGCGUUAUCCGGAAUUAUUGGGCGUAGAGGGCUCGCAGGCUGCUUGAACAGUUAGACGUGAAAUCCCCGGGCUCAACCUGGGAACUGCGUUUAAUACUAGCAAGCUAGAGAAAUAGAGAGGAAAGUGGAACUCCCAGUGUAGAGGUGAAAUUCGUAGAUAUUGGGAAGAACACCAGUGGCGAAAGCGACUUUCUGGCUAUUUUCUGACGCUGAGGAGCCAAAGCCUGGGGAUCAAACCGGAUUAGAUA